rnacentral:rRNA from 1 species
UACGUGAGGGGCAAGCGUUGUCCGGAAUUAUUGGGCGUAAAGAGCUACGUAGGCGGUUUGUCACGUCGGAUGUGGAACCCUGAGGCUCAACCUCAGGCCUGCAUUCGAUACGGGCAGACUAGAAUUCGGGCAGGGGAGACUGGAAUUCCUGGUGUAGCGGUGGAAAUGCGCAGAUAUCAGGAGGAACACCGGUGGCGAAGGCGGGUCUCCUGGGCCGAUAUUGACGCUGAGGUACGAAGGGCAUGGGGUAUCGAUCGGG